UACAGAGGGUGCGAGCGUUGUCCGGAAUCACUGGGCGUAAAGGGCGCGUAGGCGGCCUGAUAAGUCGGGGGUGAAAUCCUGUGGCUUAACCACAGGGCUGCCUCCGAGACUGUCGGGCUCGAGCACAGUAGAGGCAGGUGGAAUUCCCGGUGUAGCGGUGGAAUGCGUAGAGAUCGGGAAGAACAUCGGUGGCGAAGGCGGGUCUCUGGGCAGUAACUGACGCUGAGGAGCGAAAGCGUGGGGAGCGAACAGG
rnacentral:rRNA from 1 species